rnacentral:rRNA from 11 species
GUGUAAACCCUCAAUACCCUUAAUGCACCGGAAACUUUCUGCUCUUGGAAACUAAGUAGGGUCAUCCCAGACCAGUACUUGGAUGAGAGACCACCAAUGACUAUUAGGAGGCUAUAUU